GGGUGUAGCUCAGUGGUAGAGUACACACUUAGCAUGAGUGAGGCCCUGUGUUCAAUUCCAAGUACCACA
rnacentral:tRNA from 1 species